rnacentral:lncRNA from 1 species
AAUUGGGAUUCUGCCUUUGGGGAAGUGCUUCCUUUCAGGGACUAGAGAGGAAGAAGAGGAUUUAUCUGACUCAACUGGAGAUGGCUCCCUUCCCUUAUUUAUUGUUGCAUCCUGAAGCUUCCCCCAUGCUGGGCUCAGUGUGAACAAACAGCGCGGGAGAAUGCAACCACUGCAGAGGCAUAUGUUUGAGAUACCUGGCCACUGGAGGUCAUCUCGUCUACUAUAUUCACCGCAGAUAAAGAAUGAAAAGAGAAUACACAACCUUGUGAUUGCUAGCAGUGAAAGCUCAGAGUUAUGACAUAACAAGUGGUUGAUCAUACUGUAAAACUCAAAUGUGAAGGGAAGGCUGGAACCUACUGGAAACUGAAGAUCUAACGAAAAGAAGGAACUUUUAGGAACUAGCAGAGACUUCAAAAUGUUGAGAACUCUCUUUUUUCAUAAGAGAAGAUAAAAACUCUGAUGGUCACACUCAUAAAGACAAAAAACAAAUAAAAAACAAACAAAAACUCAGAAUCACAAGAGCAAAGAAAAUGUAGGUAAAACAAUAACAGAAGAGGUAAAGAAAUUUAUGUGAAUUGGGACACUCUGGGGCACAGAACAGAAGAGGAGAAGAAACAUGAAAGUAAUGCUCUGCACAAGGAUGUCUGACUGUCCUUGAUUCCAAGGGCAUUUAAAAUUAGCCACUGGAUGAGAACCAUGAAAUGCCAUGACUCUUACAGCUCCCAUGAAAGACAUUGGAUGGAACUUAUCCUAACUGGACCAAAUUCUAAAAAAUUUUACAUGAUAUUAUAAUGAGUUGAAAGUUGAAAAAAAAAAGCUCUUCUAGAUUACCAAGAAUAAAACACAAAUUUCUAGCUGACUGAAUUAAUUCUCAUCUCUCUAUAGAAAGAUCAUAGAAAUUUUUUUUAUCAUGCAAAGAAAUAGCUAAAAAUUUACAAAAAUAUAGACGUGCAUUAGGCAGCUCAUGAAUAAAUGCGUUUUUUCCUUUUUUCCUCCAGAAUUUUGUGAUGUUUAUGGUACUUUUCGGCUUUUAAAAUUUUGUAUUUAAUCAGGAUUUAUUACUUCAUUGUAAGUAAAUAUUAAAUUUGUACUCCAUCUUUGUUUGUAAUUUUGUAUAUUUUUCAGUAAAAAGGACUCCCCAGAUUAUGUAAGCUUUAGGCCCCACAAAAUCUAGGCCUGUUGCUGUAUCCUUUCUAGAGCAGUGUUUCUCAAACUUCAAUGUGCAUUUGAAUCUCCUGGGGCUCCUGUUAAAAUAUAGCUUCUGAGAUGAUGCAUUUCUAACAGACUCCCAGGGCUGACACUGCCCAU